rnacentral:rRNA from 1 species
UACGGAGGGAGCUAGCGUUGUUCGGAAUUACUGGGCGUAAAGCGCACGUAGGCGGUCUUUUAAGUCGGGGGUGAAAUCCUGGAGCUCAACUCCAGAACUGCCUUUGAUACUGAAGAUCUUGAGUUCGGGAGAGGUGAGUGGAACUGCGAGUGUAGAGGUGAAAUUCGUAGAUAUUCGCAAGAACACCAGUGGCGAAGGCGGCUCACUGGCCCGAUACUGACGCUGAGGCACGAAAGCGUGGGGAGCAAACAGG